rnacentral:tRNA from 1 species
GGUGGGGUUCCCGAGCGGCCAAAGGGAGCAGACUGUAAAUCUGCCGUCACNNAUCCUUCCCCCACCACCA